rnacentral:rRNA from 1 species
UACGGGGGGAGCAAGCGUUGUUCGGAUUUACUGGGCGGAAAGGGCGCGUAGGCGGCCAGCACAAGUCAGUGGUGAAAUCUCCGAGCUUAACUCGGAAAGGUCAACUGAUACUGUGCGGCUAGAGUGCGGAAGGGGCAACUGGAAUUCUUGGUGUAGCGGUGAAAUGCGUAGAUAUCAAGAGGAACACCUGCGGCGAAGGCGGGUUGCUGGGCCGACACUGACGCUGAUGCGCGAAAGCUAGGGGAGCGAACGGG